rnacentral:misc_RNA from 1 species
AAGUCGUAACAAGGUCUCCGUAGGUGAACCUGCGGAGGGAUCAUUAACACGUUUUCGAACGUUUUCAACCAAAUACAUGGAAACAAGAAGAGAAAGGAAAAUUGAAACUUUCCUUUCGAUUCAGCGAUUCUCCCCUCGAAGCCGAAAGGCGGACUGGGCCAUCCUUUUCUUUGACCUUAAAACUCGUUCCCAACUGACUUGUCUGAGUGUGAGCUUUUGCUUUCGCUCUGCUCGAGUGUUCCCACUGCCUUAACAUGAGAGUUCUUGGAUUCGGUUUUGGACUUCUGUCUGGAUCCGGUCCCAGUCUCUUCUGAUAUCAUAAUGCAAAGCACAACUCUUAGCAACGGAUAUCUUGGUUCUC